UACGUAGGGGGCAAGCGUUGUCCGGAAUCAUUGGGCGUAAAGCGCGUGUAGGCGGCGCGGUCAGUCCGGUGUGAAACCUUGGGGCUCAACCCCAAGCCUGCACUGGAUACUGCCGUGCUCGAGUCCGGGAGAGGGAAGCGGAAUUCCUAGUGUAGCGGUGAAAUGCGCAGAUAUUAGGAAGAACACCGGUGGCGAAGGCGGCUUCCUGGAACGGUACUGACGCUGAGACGCGAAAGCGUGGGGAGCGAACAGG
rnacentral:rRNA from 1 species